GGUGAGAGGGAGAAACCUGCCGCGGCUCUCCGCCUCUUUGUCUGCUCUGGGACUUGGAACAAAAGGGGAAACUCUGAUGAACUCCUUCUCCAGCUCCCUGGACGCCCGAGUAUCUCUUUCUCGCAACUUUGUCAACGCGACUUUCUCCGCUGUCAGGCUGCGCAAAAGUAUCCUAGCGCCUCGCAGGCUGCAACAAUGGAAACAAUGUCCCUUCAAAGUGCGACGAAGUGGAGGGAGAAGGUGUCAUACCAGCGACUCCAAGAGUCAUGUCACCCACUUAGCAGGAGUACUUCUACUGAAAUGCCUUCGAAUUUCUCUUACUGGAUAUAUACCUACCAGCCGCUAGCAUGAAGAUGCCAGGACCGCUGCAAGUUAGCACUGGACAAAGUAGCAUCAACUUCUUCAUUUAGAGUUUCUUCAGUUAAAUUGCUGGGAUUUUCGACAAGGCUUUCCUUAUGUGGAUUAUUGGAGUGUGAUGCCCGAGAAUUCUCUACUUGUAGAAGCACGCCCACGGGACUGCAGAAGCCUUCACACCCACCCAGCACGCUCAGAUGGGAAUGAGUGAUGGCCAUCCAGUGACCAGCUGGAUCUGACUGCCUUACAAGACGCAUGUGUAUGAUUAAGAGAGAGACAUUCGUGACUCCCAGAUGUACCUCCUUCCUGUCCCACAGUGUUCCUGAAGGGAGUGAGUUAUGGGGUAACUUAUAACACAGCAGGCUCUUCCUCAAGAUAGCUCUUGUCAAAACAGGAAGACGAAACUCGGGUUUCCAUGAGGAGACCACAGCUUGGGAUCCUGUCUGGAUGUACAAGCAGAAGCAUCUUCAUACUUUUCCAUUUCUAACCAUCAUGCCUCACCCCACCCUCCCAAGGCGACAUCUGCAGAGAGGAGAAUGAGGAGGAAGAGGAGGAGAAAGAGGAGGAGGAAGUAAGACAGAGGGGGACAAGAGGACCAAGAGGGCACAUGGCUGAGGAGGAGGAGAACAACAACAACAACAACAACAACAACAACAACAAGAAGCUUGGUGGUGAAACUUGGAAGCCCUCUCCAGGAUGCAGCAGGUAGCUGAGGAGAAAACGAAGACUGACCAGCCCAGAGCUCAGAGCUUCCUCCCAUGCUCAGGAUUUACCACCAAUGCCAUUACAUCGGCCUCUUCUUGUAUGCCUCUGGAAACCACAUGUGUCCUCUGUUUGUAAUGGUUUGGCUAUGGUUGCUGGCCCCUCUUGGACAUUGUUUUCAGAACUUAAAGAAACAUUGCUUUAAAGAUUUAUUAGAACAUAUUUAAAAUAAAACCAUCUUCUCAUUUAGUAUGCAAUUGAUUCUUCCCAUUUCCUCAGUCAAAACUCAUUGAUCAAAUUUAUUUGAGAAAUCCAGACAUGUAUAUAGCGUAUUGGGGUUAUUCCCAUCCUCCCCCAUAUUCUCUUAUCUCCCUUCCAGCCCUGACGCCCUCAGUCCUCCCUAUGGGCCUAUUCACACAAUCAUGUCUUUUUGUUUUAUGAACCAUUGAUUUUAACCGGGGCCAUCUGUGUUGCCAUGGCUUUAGAAUUAUCUACUGGAACUGGUUGGCUCAAAAUAGACAAAGACUUUCCCUUCCCCCAAGUCCAUCAUAGCUAGGAAUUCAGUCCCUCCGGUCCCCUCCCCAAUUCAUAAUUGACUGUUAGAAAGCCUAGUUUAAUGCAGGCCCUGUGUAGGUACCCAUAGCUACUGUGAGGUCACACCUGAAGAUGUGAAGCCCUUUUCCCUGUCUUCCAUUUCCACUUCUGUGUUCCCUGAGCCCUAGAUGGGAUAGUAUGAAUGUUCUGAUAAUCCGACCAAGUGGUAGUAUAUGUGUUCACUUAGAUAAAACAAAGACAAUACCAAUAGGAAAUGUAUUAUAAGCCCUGCACAUGCUAAAAAUAUAUGUAGCAAAUAACAUUAUUAUAUAAAUUCAGGGUCAUUGCUCUAUGUCAAUGUCAGUGACGUAUCAGUUUCAAAGGAUUUAUAUCACUGUUAAGUUAGAAAUAAUCCACUCUUGCUUGUUGUACAGUGCAUUUGUCCAGAUAGCCUACAAAAA
rnacentral:lncRNA from 1 species